rnacentral:rRNA from 1 species
AACGAACGCUGGCGGCAUGCCUAACACAUGCAAGUCGAACGAGACCUUCGGGUCUAGUGGCGCACGGGUGCUUAACGCGUGGGAACCUGCCCUUAAGUUCGGUAUCACUGCCCGAAAGGGGUGCUCAUACCGCAUAAUGUCUUCGGACCAAAGAUGUAUCGCGUGUGGAUGGGCCCGUGUUGGUUUCGCUAGUUGGUAGGGUAAACGCCUACGAUGGGGACGAUCCAUAGCUGGUCUGAGAGGAUGACCAGCCACACUGGGACUGAGACACGGCCCAGACUCGGGCGGGAGGAGGCAGGGGGGAAUAUUGGACAAUGGGAGAAAGACUGAGCCAGCAAGGGCGCGGGAGUGAGGAAGGCGGGAGGGUUGUAAAGUUCGUUUGCCCGGGAGGAUAAGGACAGUACAGGGAGAAUGAACUACGGGUAACUCCGUG